rnacentral:rRNA from 1 species
GAUUAACGCUGGCGGCGUGCAUAACACAUGCAAGUCGAACGAUGAAACUUUAAUGAACCCUUCGGGGAGAAUUAAAGCGGAUUAGUGGCGAACGGGUGAGUAACGCGUGAGUAACCUGCCUUACACAAGGGGAUAGCCUUUGGAAACGAAGAAUAAUACCCUAUAAAACCAUCAAAGCACAUGCAAUUAUGGUCAAAGUGAUAGCGGUGUAAGAUGGACUUGCGUCUGAUUAGCUAGUUGGUGAGAUAAAAGCCCACCAAGGCAACGAUCAGUAGCCGGCUUGAGAGAGUGUACGGCCACAUUGGGACUGAGACACGGCCCAGACUCCUACGGGAGGCAGCAGUGGGGAAUUUUGCACAAUGGGGGAAACCCUGAUGCAGCGACGCCGCGUGAUUUAGAAGGCCUUCGGGUUGUAAAAAUCUUUUGUAUAGGAAGAAAAUGACAGUACUAUACGAAUAAGGUCCGGCUAAUUACGUG